rnacentral:misc_RNA from 1 species
GAUGAAGAACGCAGCGAAAUGCGAUAAGUAGUGUGAAUUGCAGAAUUCAGUGAAUCAUCGAAUCUUUGAACGCACAUUGCGCCCCUUGGUAUCCCGAGGGGCAUGCCUGUUCGAGCGUCAUUUCACCACUCAAGCCUGGCUUGGUGUUGGGUGACGUCCCCUUUGGGGACGCGCCUCGAAACGCUCGGCGGCGUGGCACCGGCUUUAAGCGUAGCAGAAUCUUUCGCUUUGGAAGUCGGGGCCCCGUCUGCCGGAAGACCUACUCGCAAGGUUGACCUCGGAUCAGGCAGGGAUACCCGCUGAACUUAAGCAUAUCAAUAAGCGGAGGA